GCCAACGGCCAUAUCACGAUGAAACACACCGGUUCUCGUCCGAUCACCGAAGUUAAGCAUCGUCGAGCGUGGUUAGUACUUAGAUGGGUGACCGCUUGGGAACACCACGUGCCGUUGGCA